GGUUGGACUGAUCCAUGGCUUUAAAGAUGAUUUUGCAAAAGUUGAAGGGCUUGUAGAAGGAUUUGCCCGCUUGGUAUUCAUAUCAUGAAAGGUGGUGUAUUGUUGUUACUAUCACUCCCAAUCUGAUUACCCAUUAAAACCUCCCAAGUUGAAGGGCUUGUAGAAGGAUUUGCCCGCUUGGUAUUCAUAUCAUGAAAGGUGGUGUAUUGUUGUUACUAUCACUCCCAAUCUGAUUACCCAUUAAAACCUCCCAAGGUAUUGCCCUUUUUCACUUUUAUAAUUUGGUUAUUAAUUAUAUUUUCACUUUAUAAUAAUUCAGGUUUUCAUUGCCUAAUAGUGAUCAUAAUCAUAUUUAUGGUGGUAUGUGAUGGUUGUAUUAAUAAUUGUACUUAAGAAUUUAGUUAAGAAGUUACUCUAGCCUCAUUUCAAAAGGUGUAGCAAGAUACUGGCUAAAGACAUGCUUUGUUGCUCAUUCAUUGUUGAAAAACCAGACAAUGGCGUAUAUUCUACUGGCAUAUGCUUUGCUAAUUUAACUUCUAAGAUGUUUAACUAUUUGAAAAGACUAGACAGGAUACCCUGUUCGUCAUUCACUUUUGAAUAAAUGAGAUAAUC